UACGUAGGUGGCAAGCGUUGUCCGGAUUUAUUGGGUUUAAAGGGUGCGUAGGCGGCCUUAUAAGUCAGUGCUGAAAUAUCCCGGCUUAACCGGGAGGGUGGCAUUGAUACUGUAGGGCUUGAGUGUAGUCGAGGUAGGCGGAAUUGACGGUGUAGCGGUGAAAUGCUUAGAUAUCUGGAGGAAUACCGGUGGCGAAGGCGGCAUCCUGGACCGGCAUUGACGCUGAGGAGCGAAAGCUAGGGGAGCAAACGGG
rnacentral:rRNA from 1 species